rnacentral:lncRNA from 1 species
AUGAAAGAGUUAAAGAAGAAGCCAGGGAGCCAAGCCCUAAGCAGUAGAAAACCACGUGGGAGGUACGGAAGUAACAUGAAAUGGCGGCUCCUGAGAGUGGAAUGUGGAGUACAACAAAAUGGCGCCUCCCUAUGUAGGAGGAUCUACCUGACCUGCUGGCUUAACUGGAGAUAUGAGUGUAAUCAAAGGCUGAAUAGCUUUCAGUUGAAUGUACCAUUGGAGACAUGCAAGAAUUCUCUGCAAAGAUGCCAGGGGCUACUCUGUAAAGAAAAUGGAAGAAGAGUGCAAAACCAGAUGAAGCAGCUAUUGCAGUAACAGGUGCGAGAUCGGAGCAAAUGACAGCUGCUAAAACAAAGGCCGCUAAGCCAAUCACUGCGCACUCCGAAAACGCGUGGCUUACAAAGUGUCACAAAAUGGAGGCUCCUCCCUCUGGAAUGUGGACUGAAAGAAAAUGGC